UCCGGUGGCGAUGGUGCAGGGGAUACACCCGUUCCCAUUCCGAACACGAAGGUUAAGCCCUGUAACGCCGAUGGUACUAUGGCGGAGACGCCAUGGGAGAGUAGGUAGCUGCCGGAU
rnacentral:rRNA from 1 species